CGGCACAUGGAGCGUGUGCUGUUCCCGUGCUGACUCCGGGAGAGCGGGGGGAGCGAGAGGCUGUUUGCAUCCCUCUGCGCGCCUGUGGCAUCCCGACAAGUAACCGUGAUCCUCGGGUUAUCGCGUUUUAGAGGCUCUUCCUUCUGCAGUUGCAGUUUUCUAUUGCUGAUGUGUUCUUCCACUAGGGUGAGGUUGGUUUGUUUUUUAAGGUGGUGUUGAUGUCUAUUGCUGCUUAAAUCUCUGCAGCCCUUUAAAGAACAGGUUCUGCUGUGAGGACCCAUCCUGCAACAAUGACAGAGUGGUUUACAGUGCAAAGACAAUCUGCUUGAGGGGAGGGUGCUGGAUGGAGGAGGAUGCUGCCACAUAGCCUUUUGUACUGUACACAUUUGUCGUUCAUGGAAACUUAACAAAUUAUUGUUUUUAUAUGUGGGCUGCUUAUUUUUCUUCCCUGGGAUGCCAGGAUAGCUUUGGCUGCAGUGCUGUUGUAAUAGUGCCAUUACUUGGAGUCCUGUGGUAUGCUGAACUGGCAGUAAAACUUUAGCUGCUUUCUCUGUCUUUCCACGUAUGAAUUUUCUGCUCAUACUUUUAAGAAGGCCACAGUAUGAAUGGAGCCACAGUAUGAUUCUAAUUAUUAAUUCAGACAUUCUAUUUAUCUGUUUUAUUAUAGGAGUUAAUAAUUUUCAUGGAUUCUUGAUUGUUUUCCAGGAUCAGGCAAAUUAUACAGCAGCAGAGCAGGUUUCUCCUUUAAAAAUAAAUAACAUUUGUCUAAGACACAGGGCAUCGUCAUCUGUGCUGGCUAGUUCUGAAGCAUUUGUGACCACAGAGUCUGUGUAUGUGAGUGCACAUGGAAAGUGUUUGUUACAUGCCCCCGUUCCCUGCUUGGAUAUGAAAACAUGCUAUAAACCUGAUUUUCCUUGUCAUUACCAGUUUGAAACCAUGCUUCCCAGUACAAGAGUGAGGCUGGAUUCUGGGCCAUCUAAAGAUGUACAGAUGGGGGAAAGAAGCAGUAUUCCUUUGCUUUAACAGUAACUUUGAAAACUGCCCUCACUGUCUUUCAAGUGGAAGAGAUUUCUGGUGAUCAGACUCUUCUGUUUGCCUGAAAUGUUCAUGUUUGUUUAUUUAAGGUUUUGAUUUAUUAAUUUUCCAUUUGUAAUUAAAGUUCAACUGGAUCUGUAUAAAAUGAAGGUGCUCUGGAGGGUUCUCUAAAAGGCAGAAUUUGGGUAGUAAGAUGCAUAUACUAUGUUUGUUUACUUUGAGUAUGAAGCAGCCACAUGGCUCUUCACAUUGUCUGUCUUAUUUAAUGACUUCUGUUGAUUAUGCUCCAGCCAUAUCAGAAAAAAUGAGAACACUAAACCUUUUUUCCACUUUUUACAUUGUUUUCCACUUUGCUUUUACUGUCUGGUGUAUUUGGGUGGGGUGGUGGUGGUGGAAUUUUAUUGUUCUUUUGACCCUAUCCUCAGUUCUGUUCUUUCAUAGUCCUUUUGCAGUGUUCUGAGCUGCUAUUCCAAUUUUUAUUUUUUAGGGGGGAUCCCUCCCUUGAAAGAUUCUGUGACCAUACCUACAUGGUAUAGUAACUUCUUGGCUGCCUCAAUCAAUGACUGCCUGUGAACUGCUUGUUUAUGCUUAGGCUGAAAUCCGAGGAGGGAGCACAGAGGCAGAUGUUGUUGCUAGUCUGUACCAGACUGUCAGAGAUGAAUCUGAGCCACCAAUUUGACUUUUUUCCCCUUGUCAGGAGCAGAGAGAUCACAGUUACCUGUUGGUAGUAGCUCAAGGUGUACUUAGAGAUACUCUAGCAGGAGUCCCAAGCUAAAAGCAGUGGGUGUGCAAGUCUAGCAGGAGUAAAUUAAAGUAUAAUUUACUCUGCCUGUGGGGAUUUUUAUUCACCUUGGAGGUGUUUGUCUUUUGGCUUUGCUUCCUCUUCUAAGGGAAACUAAAACAUUGUCACCUUAAAGGACCUGUUGCCAAAGUAAACCUGCCAUGUGAAAACAGAGACCCACAGCUCCUUGGCAUGGGAGAGAAAAGGGUGUAUAGCAUGUAGGUCUGUGUAUUGCUCUAACAUUAACAGAAAUGGGUGCAAUAUGUGGAGGCUUUUGGACUCUUUUUGGCUAGGAUGGGGGAGAUAGGUGGCAGGUGCUUAAGCUGCCGAAGGUGCAAAGUAUGAAGUUUUUUAAAGUGAGAAUUUCUCGGGCCUCUCCUGUUUGCUGCAGAUUAGGCAGAGAAUCUGACCAAACUUCAAUCCAGAGUUUUUCCUAGUCCUCUUACUUGAGGAGAGAAAGCCCUUACUCAGUUUUAUACUUCAUAGAGAGCUAUUGUUUUUUACUGUAGCCUUUGAGGUGACUUAGAGCAUCUGUGCUGCUGCUGGCAUGGGAACAAGUUCAGUGUAAGAUUUCUUCCCAAGUAUUCAUUCUUGUAUGUUGAAUCGUGUUGAUUGCUGAAUUAAUUUUUUUUUGGUCUUUAUUUAGAACUGCAUGCAGCUGGGUUGCUGAGCUUAGUCAGGCUUGGAUUUGGGUUACUGUAGAAUUGAUUAGCAAAGUUUGGAUCUGAGUUGCUGGCUUGACAAGUUGGUGAACUGCAGAGACGUGUGGCUUACACACAGAGGGGAACUGCACGUGUCAGAGAGAAUGAGCAUCACAUCACCAUUCUUCUGUUGGACCGGAAAAAAAUCUUCAGUCGUAAGUUUCAUGAGGCCAGUGUAGUGACUCAGAAAGGAGUAACCUCCUCUAAAAGAGGAGUGGAGCUGUUAAUCCCCAUGUCUCUGGAGUUACACUACUGCUUUGCCCAAAACCAUUGGACUCCUGCUGACAUCUGCUGCCAGAAAUAGCAAUUCAACUUUGCUUCUUCACCAAGAUAGCUCAUAUGGUUAGUAUUAGUCUUAAUAAAGCAUGAGGCAGCUGCUUUGACAUAUCUCCUUUUUGUCCACCUCAAUCUUCUUCAGUAAAGAGUUUAGAAGGAAGAUAAGCAGUUUUUUUAGUUAUGCAUUAAUUAUGCAUAAAUAAUUAUAGGUGCUGGGAUUUAGUAGAUUUGGACUAGCAAGAAUUACAGCUGCAUUGUUGGGAAAAUAAUGUUCAUCAGUCCAUCCAGUAAAUGUGUUUAAAAAGUUGCCUGUAUCCCUGAAGAAUCUGACAAACUGUACCAUUCUGCUUGCCCUGUAUUUGGACUGAAAUUGGAUUUACGUGUUAGAAACAAGAUCUGUCAGGAAUGGAUUAUUGAAUUCUUGGAUUAGAUUCUAGCUUUGUUUUGCACUAGCUUUUGCAUUGGUUGUUUCUCUUCAAAACCCAGUAUUUUAAACUUGCAAAGAUACUAGUACAGCCAGUCAAAUAUCUCUAAUCUCUAGAAUUCAAAUAAACUCUAAAUUUGUUGUAUAGAUAACAUCAAGAUCUGGAUUUUUUUGAGUUAUGUUUUCUGCUGUUGAUGAAGUGGGAGACAGGCAAAAUUCUAAAUAACUGCUGGCAUUUAAGCAGCAUGUUAUUUAGUUAAAUCUCUGCACUGAGGUAAGACAUGCUGUUGAGGUAAGAAAUGCUACCGUUCAUCUAUUUUUAUUUCUGAUCACAUCUGGUGCUAGUACUGUCAAAGCUAAGUAUUCAUUUGCUAGGAACAUCCUCAGGAAUGAAAAUCAGUUUGGGUAUAACAUAAAGAGGUCAGACUAACAACUAAUUAUUCUUCCCUGCAAAGCAGAAAUAGGAAUGUGUUUUUUUAAUCCAGGAACACCCUCUUCCCCUGCCUUUACCCUGGAACAAAAUGGGUAAAUGACAGUUCUCUUUUCUUUCCUUUCUCUUAGAAACAAGCAUGCCCAAACAGUUCUGUUUAAUAUCAGUACAACAUACUUAUGUAGUACUGCAACUUAUUUCUGGAACCAGACUUAAUUACCUCUUUUUAUUUAUACAAAGAUAAAGAUCCAGGAGACUCUGCUAUUCUUGUUUACCUCUCAAAUGUGGAUUAGCCAUGAUUGGUUACCUUCAAAGACCAGUGGUUUGUCAAAAUUCAAAGCAUAGCCAAAGGGGCUGAUUGUAACUUGCAUUUGCAAUGAGUCUUUGAAAUGAUGCCACUUGUCAGAAUGCAUCAAGGGCAGGUGCUGCUCCACUCUGUGAGGGAAGGCAGCCAGGAGCUGGCUCUGAUGACCUGGCAGGCAGAAGGAGCCCUGCCGGGGUUUUGGAGGAGAGCUGUUUUGAGGAGGCCUCCACUAAGGCUGUUUUUAGGUUGCUUCUUCCCAACAGACAUCAAUGGCUGUCUUGCCUUGGGGAGGCUAAGCUCCCCCAGGGGAGCUCUGCUGUGCACAUCUCUGCUCAGCAGCUGCUGUUUAUCCUUUUGAGUGUUGCACCUUUGAUAUUUGCAUGAUUACAGGUAGCUUUGGAAGCCAGGAGAAAAAUGCCAACACGGCAAAUAGAGUCAUUGCAGUCCUUGCAGUCAGUUGGUUCUAAUAUUCUCUUCCCUUCCCCAUGCUGAUGGAGCACACAAUCUGCCUUGGAAUGGAAAGUUUUGUGUCAGCCAUCCAUUGAUCUGAUGUUUGUUUUUCCCUCUCCCAUUUGGCUGGUGCACACUCGAGGUUGCACUCUAUGAAAUUGGCUUUAAAAGAGUUUUUGCGAAUUUGGGGUAAAUGUCACUUGGUGCUUUAACUGUAGUUGUUCUAUGUGACAGUUUAGUUUAAAUACCUUUAAAAAUAAAGCUAGGCUGGUGAAGAUCAGGAAAACCUAAACUGAUUAUUUCUUCCUAAUCUUUAAAUAAAAGGACACUAGGGUGAAUGACCAAUGAACAGAGCUCUUGGAGGUUUUGUAUUUUUUUUUUAUUUAUAGUGAUACCCAUCCUAGAUAUUUUCAUAUUAUAAAAUUAGUUUUAAUACAUGACUUAGCUGAAUUUCUGCACCUAUAUCAUUCUCUCUGGAUUGGAGUACGUUUAGAUUACAUUCUGGUUUAUUUUUUUUAGUAUUAAUUCUGUUGAAGGAGUGGAGUUACUAGGGGGAUGCAGAAAGGGAGAUGACAGAGGGAAAAUUGGGUAAUGAGUUGGAUUUUGAUCUGCUUUACAGUACACAUGAUCUAUUACUGUUUUCUCAUUUGAAACUUUAAUCACAUGCCUUCUUGUGGACUCACAAGACCAAGAGACCUAUGGCAGGUGUAUGCUUAUGUGACUAUGGUAUGGAGGACUGGUUUUGGAUGAAAGGUGGAAAUUUCUGUUAUACUACCACCUGCUGAAAAGCAGGGAAUGGAGCACUGAAGUUAAAUACAAAAAAAUAAAACCCACAGGCCAACAACCCACCAGAUUUUUCAUUUGUAUAUGAAGAAGUGGUCAGAUGUUAGUUUCUCCCAGCUGGUUAAGAGGGAGGAAGAGAAUUUCAGUAAUCUCUAAUAUAUUUUACUCUCCCUUCCUCUCAAGUGUUACCUGCCUGAGUUAAGGAAUCUAAUAUAACUGUUUACUUUUGUAACAGUCUAAAGCACAAGGUGCUUGUUGUUGAGGAAAGCUCUUUUGGCAUUGUGAUCUUCAUGGCUAUAAGGGCCCCAUUGUGUUCUUGUUAUCAGGAGCUGUGUCUGGGUUAAGCUUAUUGAAGGGAAUUAGAACGAGUGCAGGGUUUGUUGGUGGUGUGGCAGGCGCAAUAGCCACACCUUUCUUUCUGAUGCAAGCCACAGUGCAAAUGUUUCCCAACACCUCAGGCUGACGUUUUUGAAGACCUUUUAAGGUCAACUGCACUGAAUUUCAUCAGAGAUUAAGGUUAUAAGCAGUUUUCAAAGGGAAAUGAGGUGGCUGCUCGAUUUGGGGUUGGAAAAAUAAUUUUUGGCUCUCUUUAUGCAAGGGACAUCUUGACUACAGACUUGGGGCAGCAGUUGGAAUUGGGUUUGAUUGUUGUUUUUGUAGGAGAUGAAGAUUUUUAAAUAUUUACAGCCACAGAAACUUUGUCUUAAACCAGACAAAAAACUUCAAAUAAAGGGAUAGGAAUUGCUCAGACAAGAGCUUGCCUUUUAGGAAGUGAAACUUAAGAGCUGACUGAUAUCUAUUGAGCCAUCAACUAUGUAUCCAACCUAUAUAUACCUAUACCUCUUCUAGCAGAUACCUAUUCAGUUUAAAGAGAAGUAGAUGCUCUGUAAAGAAGUUCCUAGCAAGCGGGUUAUGAUUAAAUUAGGCUGCAUAAGUCUGUCUCUUGCAGUGGGAACCUUGCUAGCCUAAUUUCCUAUUCAUGUAAAAUGAAAACAUGCACUUUGUUUGUGUAGUUGUAAUACACACAUGUCCUGAAUAAUCCUGGAGGGUUAAAACUGCCUUAAAAAAAAAAAAAAAGCUUCAGAAUGCAUUUGUCAAAAUGAAUUGAAUCAUUUGUUUGCUCUUGUGUAACAUUUUGACAGUCUCUGAGAAAGGAUUACAAAGUCCCCACCAUAAGCCAAUGGGUUUAUACUGAAAAGAAGGAUGGUAACUUGGUUUCAUUCAUGUGAAGUAAAAUAUUAAGUAAAAUAUUUGCCUAUAAACAUUGUGCAUAGUAGUCAUUGCAUCCUAAAAGGCCUUUAUAUGUUUGUGGUGGUUUAGUAAAUGAUGCUAUAAAGCUGAGAAAGCAGUUUGCAGGAGUGAUGCAAUAUGUGAGCAACUUAAUAUGUUACAUAGUAUGAAAGAAGGUCUAGUAACCAUAGGAUUUCCAGAUUCCUUUGACAGUAGUUCACCCAGGAGAGGAUUUACUUCUCCCAUUCAUUUAGGUUUUGGUGUUUUUUUAAAGUCCAGUUCACAAAUGCCCAGUGUAAACCAGCAGUGUUGGGAGAUCAGUUCUAUCCCAUGUUCCUUGUGUUUUUGUUCCAAUUCCACUUUGCUGCCUUGCAGAGCUGUCGUAUUUAUUAUGUGAAUGUGCCAUGGGGCAAUGUCAGCAAACAGCCUGGGUUUGGAAAGCUGAAUCUCCUACUAUCAAGUUUGCUGCUUCUGUUGCUGAUGCAAUUUCCCAGUAGAGGAAGAUGGGGGGAGGCUUUCUGUGCUGCUGCCCAGAUGUUUUCCAAUUAAAUGCCACUUGAUAUGAGCUGCCUGUUUUUACAGAAGAAAAUUGUCUAAAUCUGUGCAGGGAAAUUACUGCAGUAACUGCUGGCUACUGUGUGUAUUUUGUUUAUUAUAGGAAGUGAACUUCAGAUGUGUCAUACAGCUUGCUAAAAGACAUGUUAUGUCCCCAGUGAAAGAUUAUAAAAUCAUUCACUAAUGGCAAAAUAACUGAGUUGAGCAUGACUAAUACAUUAACAGCUUAUUUGAAAAGGCAUGCAAAGAACAGUUUUUUCAGGUAAAUACUUAAUAUGUUGGGGUUUCUUUGUUUGGUGUAGUGUUCUUUUGGGGUUUUAUUUUUUUUGGUUGGUUGGUGUUUGGGGUUUUUUUGUUUUGUUUUUGGUGGGUUUUUUUGUGUGUGUGAUUUUGUUUUCUUUUUUAAUUUUUUUUUAUUUGAAGUCUAAGGCUCCUAAGUAGGAAAAAUGUAGAUCUGUUCUACCUGAUACGAGUAAGGUUCUGGCUGUGCAGGCUGGAUAAAUGACAGGUGUGCAUCCCCUGGUCUGCAGGUUGAAUGCCUGUGUGAUCUUUCCCUAACCUGUUCUGGUCAAAAGAAAUUAACCUGGGAAUUAUCUACUGUGCAAGCUAUUUCAAGCUAAUUUAUUAAUUUUUUUGGCUGAAAUGUGCCCCCAGGCACAUCUGAUGACAGAGGGGGAAUUGAAGCCCUCAGGAUUGCCCUCCUGAGCUGGUCGUGCAUUCGGACAGGACUGCCGCGCAUGUGCAGGGUUGAUUAUGUAACCACACUGUGUGCUCCUGCUCAGAUUGACACCUUUAUCUCCCUUGUAUCUCUUUCAAGCUUCUGUAACAGAAAUAGAUUACCCAGGCCUGCUUUUUUGUUUCCCUCAUUUCAAAAAGGGAUCUCUGCUUAAGCCAGAGUGUUGGUGGAGCUAACUUGUAUGUAUUUGGUUGUUACAAAUUUCCUACACGGUUGAUAAUUGACUUAUGAAUCAAACAUAAUACAUUUUUCAUUUGAAAGUAAUUUCUGGUAGGGCUUGAAAGUGUGAACAAAAGACUUUUGAUCACAUUUAGUUUUAUGUUCUUUCAUUACUAGCAAAAUGUCCGUGCUGCUUACUCCUUAAGUACUGUAUAGUUAUGGUAUAUUACAAUUUAAAAGCACUUGAAUCCUGGCUAGACCUGACCUGCUUCACUGACAAACAGUGUGGAUGCUAUGCUUUCUAAUGAAUGUAAGGAAGCUCGCUUUCCUAUCUGCCCAUAGCUUUUUCUACCUUUCAGAACUUGAAUCUACUGCCUUUUAGAAGGCCCCAUAUAUUCUUCAUGUUAACUUUUGGUGCUGAUUUAAAAAGCUGUUUUGUUUCUAAAUAUUAGUAUCUAUAUAAAAUAAAGUAUUAGUAUCUAUAUAAAAUAGUGUCCCAGCUACUAAAGAAAGUAAAUGGAUAUUGCUUGGUGAGGUAGAUUUAGAAAAUUUUUCACUAAUGGCCAAAUAACAGCAAAAUACCCCAGAUUGCACAGCAGUACAGCAUGUCUAUCCAUUGAGCAAUUUCUGUGCACAAAUAAUGUAGUUGAGAGAGCUAUGAUUUAAGAAAUAAAUUUAAACUAUGUGCAAGCAGGCAGAUGAAAUGGAAAGCAAUUCAGAUCUUUAAGUUUUAGACUAAUAGCUGAGAUUCAAAACAGAAGCUAUGUCAAAUUAUUCAAGUAGUUAUUGAUGUGCUGAACUGGUUUUCUUUGUUCAGUACCAUUAAGACAAAUGUGCAUGUUAAUUUCAUCUCUAGUACCUGAUCAUUUGAAAAACUGUGUGAACACAUGCACUUCCCACACUUUGGGAUACAUGGCAUAUCUAAAUACUGUGAGUUUCUUUGUCUAUGCACUGUCUAUUCACUAAGCUUUCCCUUUGCCCUAAGGUCAUUUAAUCCCAGUUUUCAAAACACUAGGCACCAUUAAAAGAAAUAAGAAAGAGAGAUAUUAAUGCUUGAGUAUUGGAUUAGCAUGUACUUCUGAGAUGAAGCAGAUAGCCUUUGGAUAGCUGUCUGAAAACAUUCCUUAUCAGCUUGGGAAACCUGAGCUGUCCCCUGCAAGCACAUAAGUACAGUGGGCCUAGAGAUAACAGAUGCACAAAGCUGAGAAAAGAAACUGCUACAAGGUUCAUGAACUUUAGAAGAUGGUAACAAAAACUGAAGGCAUCUAUCAUCUUCAACAGACAUUAGGCUUUUCUAUAAAAAUAAUUAGAGGGAAUUACGAGUACCAUGUGUUCAAAAAGUGGACAAGAUUGCAGAAUUCUGGACCACAAAAGUGUUAAGCUAUAUAAACCUGAUGUGAUCCUAAGAAACAAAUGGGGUCUUUUAUUGAGAAGCUGAACCAAGUCUUUUUGCCCUGCAGUGGGAUCUUGGAGGUGGGCAGGGUAAAGCAGAAAUUACUAAACACUUGCUACUUCUCUAAACACACUUGCUCAUAUCUGCCACGUGUGGCCUGCCUUGAGCAUAACCUGGAGAAUUUUAACUUAUUCCUUCAAGGAAUCAGUGCAAGGAGUGAUGGCAUAGUUGGGUUUGUGUUUUAUACUGGUCUGGAGGUGGAGCUUUGUGAUAGCAUUAAAGGUAGUUGUUUUUCAUCCUUUAAUGGGUAAAGAUACUGCCAUGUGCUUGUAUGUCCUGUAGGAGAGAACAAAACCUAAGUUGUAGUAAUUUCUUCCAUUACAC